GGCUCGGUGGCCAAGUGGUAUGGCGUCGGUCUUGUAAAGCGAAGAUCCCGGGUUUGAUCCCCGGCCGGGCCU
rnacentral:tRNA from 1 species